rnacentral:lncRNA from 1 species
ACCAAGGGAGGAAGACAGCCGAUGUUGACCUCUGACAUUUACAAGCGGAUGCCAGGCAAGUGCGCCAGCACGUGCAUGUGCAGCGCCCCACACAGAUAACAGGUAAACGAAGGAGUAGAUAAAGUACAGGGCUCUCACAAGUAUGGAGUCCUGACGGCAUAGCCUUAUCUCGCAUGGCAAAGGUAUGUAUAAAUUAUAAUCCUUUUCCGUCUAGAUCAUUGAUUCUAAUUCUCUUAUUUUGCGGAUGAGGGAAUUGAAGUUCAAAGAAAAGCAAAACUACAAAUUUUGGCAGAGUGAAGAUCUCAGCCGAGACCUGCUUUGUUCCUGGCAUUCCCCAAGUGUGUUAUGGAUGAUGAAAAUAGAUGUUCUUUGUUUCUAUCAACAAGCAAGUUUUCAAACAUCGGGAAUUUGAUCACCUGCCAUUCAUAUUGACGUGGGUCUCACUAGGAAAGAGAAGCCUUUCAGACUGGAUAGCAUGAGGAGGGUCUAAUAAAGAGACAAACUUUAUUUAAGGGUAAAAAUAC